rnacentral:rRNA from 1 species
AUACGGAGGGAGCGAGCGUUAAUCGGAAUUACUGGGCGUAAAGCGCGCGUAGGCGGCUUUGUAAGUCGGAUGUGAAAGCCCUGGGCUCAACCUGGGAAUUGCAUUCGAUACUGCAGAGCUAGAGUAUGGUAGAGGGAAGUGGAAUUUCCGGUGUAGCGGUGAAAUGCGUAGAUAUCGGAAGGAACACCAGUGGCGAAGGCGACUUCCUGGGCCAAUACUGACGCUGAGGUGCGAAAGCGUGGGGAGCAAACAGGAUUAGAUACCCCAGUAGUCC